GGAGAGAUACCCCUAAUGGUAAGGGAACUGGUUGUAACCCAGUCAGACUUAUGUCUAUUACAGGUUCAAGUCCUGUUCUCUUCA
rnacentral:tRNA from 1 species